UUCUCAAAACCAAAAAAACUCACUCAUUCAGAUUGCAACCUAUACAAUUAUAAACCUUUCUUCUUCUUCCAAUCUCCUCCAGAUUACAACUUUCUCUAACCCAAAUUCCCGCCGCUCCGUCAACUUAGACCGCUCUGGCUGCCGCCUUGACGAUCGCUCUCUCUCAUUCACAGAUGACUCCAAAACAAAGUAUUAGACUCAAGCUUCCUUUGAAGAAAAAUCACAUGAUUUUACCGCAUAAGAUAACUCAAGCGGCUUAGCAGGUACAAGCAACAAUUAAUCAAUUGCCACUUGAUGCCAAUGCCACUAUACCAACGUCACAAUAUGUGCGGCAUCCCACCAGCAACAUGUUAAGCCUCAUACCCAACAAGUUGCAGUAUUUUCACUCCCACCUAAUAAGGUGCAUCAAUCUGAAUUAAUUAUAGUGAUGAUGUCCACACCGAGUUUUGUCUCAGAAGACAACAUUUUCCCGACUGCUGAUCAUUCACUGUCGCAACCAUUAACAUUUGUUGCCUCACAAUUUUAUUAAAAAUAAUUUAAGUAAUUAAAAUAUGACAUGGCUUCUACAUUAA